GAAUAAGGAGAUGAAGUAGUGUCUCCCUCCAUUCAAUCCUCAAACAAUUGAGAGAGGAAAUUCACCUUUAUCAUCUGAGUGUAGCAAACACCAAGAACAGAAUACAUUUUGAAUGAGAGGAAGAGACUGGAAAAUCAACUCAGGGAAAACAAGUGAGAUACUGAACACCAAAAAUCCUGGGAUGAAUGGUGAUUUCUAUGAGCAAAGCCCAGAGAUUGUUAACUGAAUAAACAGGUACAGAAAAAGUUCUUUGUCGUAGGAAUGUCUGAUGAUUGGCUGGCAUAUCUCGUAAAUCAUAUAUCACAACAAACAUCUUCACCACAGUCUUAUUAGGAUUAAAUAAGAUUCAACUACAAAAAUAAAGAGAAUAUUCCCUGAGGAACAAAAUUAAUUCAUAGCAGGAAAGACUGGAACUGGGUCACUUGCAAAAAGAAUGCAUUCCUGAAUGUCAAAUUCACUAAGCAGAGGAAAUAUCUUCUGUAAUUUACUGAAGAAAACAUCAAAUUCAUUAUAAAUAAGACCUAUGGGUUGGAUAGUCUCAGAACAUCUCUAUUUCUUAAGUCACUUGGAAAAUGUAUGUAUAUCUGCACAAAUAGAAUCGUCUGAAAAAAA
ensembl:lncRNA novel transcript, antisense to KIAA1370